UGGAUAAUAUCAUGUCUUUACAUGGGAGGUGAAAGAGCUUAUUGGAUAAUAUCAUGUCUUUACAUGGGAGGUGAAAGAGCUUAUUGGAUAAUAUCAUGUCUUUACAUGGGAGGUGAAAGAGCUUAUUGGAUAAUAUCAUGUCUUUACAUGGGAGGUGAAAGAGCUUAUUGGAUAAUAUCAUGUCUUUACAUGGGAGGUGAGCGUAUUGUAGAUCCCAUGUCUUUACAUGGGAGGUGAGCGUAUUGUAGAUCCCAUGUCUUUACAUGGGAGGUGAGCGUAUUGUAGAUCCCAUGUCUUUACAUGGGAGGUGGGCGUAUUGUAGAUCCUGUGUCUUUACAUGGGAGGUGGGCGUAUUGUAGAUCCCAUGUCUUUACAUGGGAGGUGAGCGUAUUGUAGAUCCCAUGUCUUUACAUGGGAGGUGAGCGUAUUGUAGAUCCCAUGUCUUUACAUGGGAGGUGGGCGUAUUGUAGAUCCUGUGUCUUUACAUGGGAGGUGAGCGUAUUGUAGAUCCUGUGUCUUUACAUGGGAGGUGAGCGUAUUGUAGAUCCCAUGUCUUUACAUGGGAGGUGGGCGUAUUGUAGAUCCUGUGUCUUUACAUGGGAGGUGAGCGUAUUGUAGAUCCUGUGUCUUUACAUGGGAGGUGAGCGUAUUGUAGAUCCUGUGUCUUUACAUGGGAGGUGAGCGUAUUGUAGAUCCCAUGUCUUUACAUGGGAGGUGAGCGUAUUGUAGAUCCCAUGUCUUUACAUGGGAGGUGGGCGUAUUGUAGAUCCUGUGUCUUUACAUGGGAGGUGAGCGUAUUGUAGAUCCUGUGUCUUUACAUGGGAGGUGAGCGUAUUGUAGAUCCCAUGUCUUUACAUGGGAGGUGAGCGUAUUGUAGAUCCUGUGUCUUUACAUGGGAGGUGAGCGUAUUGUAGAUCCUGUGUCUUUACAUGGGAGGUGAGCGUAUUGUAGAUCCUGUGUCUUUACAUGGGAGGUGAGCGUAUUGUAGAUCCUGUGUCUUUACAUGGGAGGUGAGCGUAUUGUAGAUCCUGUGUCUUUACAUGGGAGGUGAGCGUAUUGUAGAUCCUGUGUCUUUACAUGGGAGGUGGGCGUAUUGUAGAUCCUGUGUCUUUACAUGGGAGGUGAGCGUAUUGUAGAUCCUAUUUCUGCCUCAAUAAAUGGGGACAUUUUGCCACUUCCCUCUAGGAAACAGGCUGUUUUAGGCUUUUG